GAUGAACGCUGGCGGCGUGCCUAAUACAUGCAAGUCGAGCGAACGGACGAGAAGCUUGCUUCUCUGAUGUUAGCGGCGGACGGGUGGGUAACACGUGGAUAACCUACCUAUAAGACUGGGAUAACUUCGGGAAACCGGAGCUAAUACCGGAUAAUAUUUUGAACCGCAUGGUUCAAAAGUGAAAGACGGUCUUGCUGUCACUUAUAGAUGGAUCCGCGCUGCAUUAGCUAGUUGGUAAGGUAACGGCUUACCAAGGCAACGAUGCAUAGCCGACCUGGGAGGGUGAUCGGCCACACUGGAACUGAGACACGGUCCAGACUCCUACGGGAGGCAGCAGUAGGGAAUCUUCCGCAAUGGGCGAAAGCCUGACGGAGCAACGCCGCGUGAGUGAUGAAGGUCUUCGGAUCGUAAAACUCUGUUAUUAGGGAAGAACAUAUGUGUAAGUAACUGUGCACAUCUUGACGGUACCUAAUCAGAAAGCCACGGCUAACUACGUG
rnacentral:rRNA from 1 species